GGACCAGUAGCACAACUGGAUAGUGCAGCACCCUUCUAAGGUGCCGGUUAUAGGUUCGAAUCCUAUCUGGUUCACCA
rnacentral:tRNA from 1 species